AUACUCAGUUUCUCUUCAGGCCAUAUAAACCUUUUGCCUUUCAC
rnacentral:snRNA from 1 species